CGAUGACGAGUUAAGAUGCUUUCUUCUGAGCGUGAAUCGGGUGGUGAGCGACGAGCGAGAUUGUCUGCUCUCUGUCGUUGAUGAACGUUCCUGCUGUGCUUUGCAGUCUGGAAGAAGAAAGCAUGUUCAGAG
ensembl:snoRNA U3 Small nucleolar RNA U3